rnacentral:rRNA from 1 species
AGAGGCCCAAGUUGACAAAUGCCGGCGUAAAAUGUGGUUGGCGCCUUUACACACUAAAGCUAAACAUCUUCAGAGCUGUUAUACUCACAUGAAGACAGGAAGUACUUCCACGAAAGUGGCUUUAAACAAUGUUAAUCCACGAAAGCUAGGGGACAAACUGGGAUUAGAUACCCCACUAUGCCUAGCCUUAAACACAAGUGAUGCAUUUACACCUUUCGCUUGCCAGGGUACUACGAGCCCCA